GACGAAUGCUGGCGGCGUGCCUAACACAUGCAAGUCGAGCGAGUAGAUCCCUUCGGGGUGAAGCUAGCGGCGGACGGGUGAGUAACACGUGGGCAACCUGCCUCAUAGAGGGGAAUAGCCUUCCGAAAGGAAGAUUAAUACCGCAUAAGAUUGUAGCUUUGCAUGAAGUAGCAAUUAAAGGAGCAAUCCGCUAUGAGAUGGGCCCGCGGCGCAUUAGCUAGUUGGUGAGGUAACGGCUCACCAAGGCGACGAUGCGUAGCCGACCUGAGAGGGUGAUCGGCCAAAUUGGGACUGAGACACGGCCCAGACUCCUACGGGAGGCAGCAGUGGGGAAUAUUGCACAAUGGGGGAAACCCUGAUGCAGCAACGCCGCGUGAGUGAUGACGGCCUUCGGGUUGUAAAGCUCUGUCUUCGGGGACGAUAAUGACGGUACCCGAGGAGGAAGCCACGGCUAACUACGUGCCAGCCGCCGCGGUAA
rnacentral:rRNA from 1 species